UUUGCUUGUUUUUUAGAGGCAGGGUCUUGCUCUUGUCACCCAGGCUGGAGUGCAGUGGCACGAUCACAGCUCACUGCAGCCUCAACUUCCUGAGCUCAAGCGAUUCUCCUGUCUCAGCCUCUCCAGUAGCUGGGAUUAUAGGCAUGAGCCACCACGCCUGGCUAAUUUUUGUAUUUUUUUUAUAGAGAUGAGGUCUUGCCAUAUUGCCCAGGCUGGUUUCAAACUCCUAGGCUCAAGUGAUCUGCCUGCCUCAGCCUCCUGAAGUGCUGGGAUUACAGGCAUGAGCCACCAUGCCCAGCCUGCCCAGCCUCCUCAGUUCCAGAUUUUGAGGAAGCUGUCCCAGGAACCUGUGGCCACAGCCAUCCCGUCAGCUGUGACUCCCAGGCAGCUCACCCUGUUAUCGUGGCCAGAGAGGAUGCCUGAGGAAGAGGGAAAGGAGUCAGCCUGUCUCUCCAAGCUGAUUUGGAAAGCAGUGUGUGCAUGCGUAUGAAGAAACUGAGGCCCAUGGAGGAGUGACUUGUGCAAGGACACUCAGAAAGUGAGCAACAGAAUUAGGAUUUGGAUUCUGCCCCUGGCCAGUGUUAUUUUCAUCAGCACCUGGCCUCUUGAUAGAGAAGAAGCCAUCCUAUCUGACCAACUUCAGGCUAGUCUUAGAUGAGCCCUAGGCUGCAGUCAGGGCCCUCGGGCCACUCCAGAUCUCCUUGAUUCUGCCUUGAUUCCAUGUUUCCCUGAGGCUGUCUUGCCUCUCAGUGGGUGCCCCUGAAAUGCCAGGAACCCAGAACUGACUGGACAGUCAUGGUCCACAGAUCUCCUAGGGCAGGGAGCAGUCAUGGCAUUGGGCAGUGGAGAGAGGCUGCUUAGAGCAACACUGAGGGAAAACAGUCCUAGUUGGGAACCAAGGGGUACUGGAUUCCAGGGGUGGAGUCACCCAGUGACAAGGGACAGCAGUAAGAGAGUCCGAAAUGGGAGCUGAUGGGGGGUACAGAAUGGGGAGGGAGGGCUGGGGAGGGUCCUUCCAGCUGAGGAAGCAGCAGCCAGGGCUGGCCCUUACCCACACGCUCAGACUUCAUGGAGUCCCAGACAUUGCAGUUGAAGUCGUCGUAGCCAGCGAAUAGUAGGCGGCCACUGAGGGAGAAGGCCACGGACGUGAUGCCGCAGAUGAUGCUCUCGUGGGAGAAGCAGAUCAGCUCCUGGUCUGCCCGCAGGUCAAACAAGCGGCAGGAAGCGUCAUCCGAGCCCGUGCAGAUGGCCUCUCCAUUGGGGAAGAACUGAGGGCACGGGUGGCAAGUGGGUCAGGGAUCAGACCUGGGCAGCCCACAGCCUCUCCCGCCCUCUGCCUCCCACCUGACAGCUCCAGGGCAAGCCGCUGCUCUCAGCCUCCCUGCCUGUCCCUCCCUUGGUUUGGGGUGAGAAGCAGCCCUGCCAACACAUACCACGUGCCAGUGACUUCCCUAUGCCCCUCGCCCGCUCUGCACUAUACAGCGCUGCAGGCAGGCAUCAUUUCCACGUCGCAGGCAAGAGCACCAAGGCUUGCCUGCAGUGACCCGGCUAGAAGGGCGGACGGAGGUUGUCCCAGACUCCCAGACUACACAAGUGGGCUGGAUCAGGGUGUGUAAGAACAGGGUCCAGUACAAAUGCAAGGCCUGGAUCUCACGGCGAGCAAAUGUCAGAUAAGCUCAAACGGAGGGAGAGUCUACAGAAAACUGGUUUGUACUCUUCAAAAACGUCAAUGACAUAAAAGACAAAGGUGGGAAAACAGUUCCAGUUUAAAGGUGGUGACGAAAAAGAUAUGGCGAGGAAAGGUAAUGCACGUUUCUGGAUUGGAUCCUGGACAGAAAAAAACAUGAGCUAUUAUGGACAUUUUUGAGGCUAUUGGUGAAAUUUGAAUAUAGACUGUAGACUGUAGUAUUGUGUCAAUGUUGAGUUUCCUGAUCUUAAGAAUCAUACAGUGAUUAUGCUACAGAAGGGCUUUGUUUCGGGAAGUACUUAAGGGGU
rnacentral:lncRNA from 10 species